rnacentral:rRNA from 1 species
GACGUAGGGUGCGAGCGUUGUCCGGAUUUACUGGGCGUAAAGAGUGUGUAGGCGGUGCUCUAAGUCUGUCGUGAAAUCUCCCGGCUUAACUGGGAGGGUGCGGCGGAAACUGGUGUGCUCGAGGGUGGGAGAGGUAAGCGGAAUUCCUGGUGUAGCGGUGAAAUGCGUAGAUAUCAGGAGGAACACCUGCGGUGUAGACAGCUUACUGGACCACUUCUGACGCUGAGACACGAAAGCGUGGGUAGCAAACAGG